GACGAAGGGGGCUAGCGUUGUUCGGAAUUACUGGGCGUAAAGCGUGCGUAGACGGUUGCGUAAGUCAGAUGUGAAAGCCCCGGGCUCAACCUGGGAAUUGCAUUUGAGACUGCGUAGCUAGGGUGCGGAAGAGGGAAGCGGAAUUUCCGGUGUAGCGGUGAAAUGCGUAGAUAUCGGAAGGAACACCAGUGGCGAAAGCGGCUUCCUGGUCCAGCACAGACGUUCAGGCACGAAAGCGUGGGGAGCAAACGGG
rnacentral:rRNA from 1 species